rnacentral:misc_RNA from 1 species
AAAAAAUUCAAAAUUUAAAUAUUAUUAUUAACUUUUCUAAUUAGUAAAUGAAAUAAAAAUAUUUUUAUAAAUAAAUAAUUUUCUUCUUAAUAUUUAUAAAAUAUUAAUUAUAUAUUAAAAAUAAAAAAUAAACAUAUCAUAUUCAUUUUAUAAAAUUUCUUGUAUUACUAUAAAUAAAAAGAUAAUAGUUAAAUAUAAAUUUAAAUUUUUAAAUAUUAAAAUAUCAAUAUCAUUAUUUUUUUUAUUUUCAAUUUAAAAAUUUUACUUGGCCAGGCCAAUGGAUCGUUGGAUCAAUAAGUCAUCAGUUCAACCACCAAAACAUCUGAUUUUUUUACGGGUCAAUUUCUUGUCACAUUCAAUGAGAGAAAUGGUCCAAUUUUACAUCCAAGUGACUGAUUCACCGGAUCAAUUAGGGUUUUAUAACAAUGCAUAUAACUAACUAGUAGAUUGAGAUUGACAUUGAGAUUAAGUUGACUUAAAGUACAACUAUUACAAAAAUUUCAAUUUGAUCGUAAACCGAUGUAGUUUGGCUGAGCUUUAGCAUUUGCAGUUUCAAUCAAUACAAAAUGUUUAACAGUUAGGAACAUAAUAUGAAAUCAUGUAAUAUGUAGCAAUUGAAACCACUAAAAUCCUCAUUAAAAUUUAUGGAUAACUUACUAUUACUAUGCCCCUAAAGAUAAGUCAUAUUCAGUCCUAUUAAAGCUCACUUGAAGGCCGACUCGACUAAGGGACAAAGUUUAUGGGUUAGUAGUUCAAUUAGUGAGCCAUUAAAAAAUUAAUUAAAUAUAAUACCUACUAAUAUAAAUAAAUAAAUCUAAUUAAUUAAUUUUUAAUUAUUUAAAAUCAAACUUUCAACAUUUAUUAUCUUAUAUUCACAUAUAUUUUAAUAGUGCUUUUAAAUUUCAU